GGGUCGAUGGCGUAGCUGGUCAUCACAUCUGUCUAACACCGUGCGGUCUCCCCGUAUAACCUUCACAGAAGGUCCUCAGUUCGAACCUGGGUUGAUUGA